rnacentral:rRNA from 1 species
GACGAACCGUGCGAACGUUGUUCGGAUUCAUUGGGCGUAAAGGGUGCGUAGGCGGCGCGGUAAGUCGGGUGUGAAAUUUCGGAGCUUAACUCCGAAACUGCAUUCGAUACUGCGGUGCUUGAGGACUGGAGAGGAGACUGGAAUUCAUGGUGUAGCAGUGAAAUGCGUAGAGAUCAUGAGGAAGACCAGUGGCGAAGGCGGGUCUCUGGACAGUUCCUGACGCUGAGGCACGAAGGUCAGGGGAGCAAACGGG